GCUCCGAUGGCCUAGUGGUUAGAAUUUCCACCUCGGAUGCGAGAGGUCGUGGGUUCGAUUCCCGAUCGAGUCA